GGGUGCAUAGCUCAGUUGGUAGAGCAGCUGACUCUUAAUCAGCGGGUCCAAGGUUCGAACCCUUGUGCACCCACCA
rnacentral:tRNA from 35 species